UGGGGAGUGGUCUAACGGUAGGACAACAGAUUCUGGUUCUGUCAGGUGAGGGUUCGAAUCCUUCCUCCCCAACCA
rnacentral:tRNA from 1 species